rnacentral:tRNA from 1 species
GGGGAUUUAGCUCAGCGGUACAGCAGCCUGCCUUACAAGCGCAAGGACCCGAGUUCAAUCCUCGGUACCCCCC